ACCAUAAAGGAGCUGCUGGAAACAGGCAAACUUGCCUCCAAUUGUCCGAGCCUCACGUCACGGAAAGAGUUGAAGCGCUUUGAGGAACACACUCAAAGGAUAACCUUAAAAAAGCGGACCUUGGUGGAUGUUGAGAAUCUCUAAAAGCGGAGUGUUCUCUUCUUUCUUCACAACUUUGCGGGGCUUCACUGAAGAUGCGCAGGAACCUGUUUACGAGGAAAACGCAGGAAGUUUGAGUCUGAGGGAAUCCGGUACGGGCUGAAAAUGCACAAGGAUACCAUUACUCAUCCGUCUGUUUUUGUCCGCGCCGGACCACUUUAUCCUGGAAAUAUGUUUGUCUCUGAUGGCUUUUAGGAUCCUGGGUGAAGCUCAAGAGUGAUAAAUGAACAUCACGUUCAGAAAGCGCAGCUUAGAGAGGAUUCUACUCAUCGACAGAGCUGUUGGAGGAGGACUCAGAUGAAAACAGCUUUGAUUUUAAUCAUAUUGUUUUUAUGUUGACGCAGACACAUAUUGCUUGCAUAUUGAGGAGUUAUAGCUUAAAGGUAGGCUACAACGCAGUAAGAGCAGUGUCCUAAAUGGGCUGAUGAUGUUUAAUGUGAUAUAGACUUCAAAACAAAAUAGAUGUUGUUGUUUGAAACUAGGCUUUAGAAGAUUAUUUUAACUUAAGUCAUACUCUGCAGUAUUACUAUAGGCGGUAGUCAUAUGUUUCCAUGCAGUAUAAAGUAGACAGUGCCAAUCAAGGCAUUAUGUGCAUGUAGAGGUUAAAGGUUUGGGAGCCACUUGUGUUUCAACAUGUCAGUAAAAGGUGUUGCUAUUUACACUUUUCUAAGUGAAAACAAGGAGGAGAUCAACAUCCAGGAGAAUGAGGAAGUGGUUAUCUUUGACGAGAACUCUGUGGAUGGUUGGGUCUUGGGGGAAAACAGCAGAGGGGAGCGGGGUCUCUUUCCUAAAUCUUAUGUGAACAUCAUUCGCCCUCGCUCGGACUCCAACGUGACUGACUGCUCCAUAAGCCCGGCAGGCUCUUUAGGAAAUGACUCCCCCCAUCUACCAUCUACACCAAACACAUCCAUUAAUUCGGGACAGAUUUAUGACGAAGACUACUACGAUGACUGGGAUGACUGGGACGACAGAUCCACAGUGGUGGAUGAUGCUGAUCACAGUAACACUAGCACUACUGGAGCUAAUGGACAUAUCUUUCAGGCCCCACCAUCAAAUAAUCCCAACGUGCAUUACCGGAGCAAAUCAGUCUCCGGACAAGACAGCAUGGCCAGCGCCAGGAAGGGUAGCAUGGUGGGCAGAAACUUGAACAGAUUUUCCAGCUUUGUUCGCUCAGGGGUGGAGGCGUUUGUGCUUGGUGAUGUCCCCAUGAUGGCAAAGAUUGCAGAGUCAUAUACCAUUGAGAUGGGUUCACUGGGACCUCAAUGGAAGGCAAAUCCAAGGCCAUUCAUCUGCUCUAUUGAAGACCCAACCAAACAGACAAAGUUCAAGGGUAUCAAGACCUACAUAUCGUACCGAGUGACGCCGAGCCACAUAGGCCGGCCAGUUUACAGACGAUACAAACACUUUGACUGGUUGUACAACCGUUUGUUGCACAAGUUCACUGUGAUCUCUGUGCCUCACCUCCCUGAGAAGCAGGCCACUGGUCGGUUCGAGGAAGACUUCAUCGAGAAGCGUAAGAGGCGACUGAUACUGUGGAUGAACCACAUGACCAGCCACCCAGUCCUCUCGCAGUAUGAAGGCUUUGAGCACUUUCUGAUGUGUGGUGAUGAUAAGCAGUGGAAACUGGGUAAGAGGCGGGCAGAGAAGGACGAGAUGGUGGGAGCCCAUUUCAUGCUGACCCUUCAGAUCCCCAACGAACACCAGGACCUUCAGGACGUCGAGGAGAGGGUUGACAACUUCAAGACUUUCGCCAAGAAAAUGGACGACAGUGUGAUGCAGCUCACGCACGUUGCCUCAGAGCUCGUCCGUAAGCACCUGGGCGGGUUCAGGAAGGAGUUCCAGCGACUUGGGAAUGCCUUCCAGUCUAUUAGCCAGGCUUUCACACUGGACCCACCCUACAAGUCAGAUGCCCUCAACAACGCCAUCUCCCACACUGGCCGCACCUAUGAAAACAUCGGAGAGAUGUUUGCAGAGCAACCUAAGUAUGACCUCUUCCAGAUGUUGGAUAAGCUCUCGCUCUAUCAAGGCCUGCUCGCCAACUUCCCGGACAUUAUUCAUCUACAGAAAGGCGCCUUCGCCAAGGUGAAGGAGAGCCAGCGGAUGAGUGACGAGGGGAAGAUGGACCAGGACGAAGCGGACGGGAUCAGGAAACGGUGCCGGACUGUGGGCUUUGCCCUCCAAGCAGAAAUGAGCCACUUCCAUCAGCAGCGAGAGGUGGACUUCAAAGACAUGAUGCAAGCCUACCUCAGGGAGCAGAUAGCCUUUUACCAGCGUGUCGGCCAGCAACUGGAGCGCACCCUGCGCAUGUACGACGGCCUUUGAACACUCCAGACUCACUCCACAUGCCAAAACUUCAAGAAGCAAAGAAUGAAUUUUGACUCUAUUUUUUAUAUAUAUAUAUAUAUAUAUAUGUAUAUCAGGGUGCUUGGUAUAGACGGAAAAGAAGACCCGGUAGUUACUGAAGCGAUGCACAAAGCCAGUCAUUAAUUCACCCUGAUGGAUUCAAAGAAACGUUUUUAAAAAGACCUACUGUAUCUUUUAUAUCUAAAGUACACUUCAAAUAGGCAAAGUCAGUAUAUUUUAUAGAAUUUAAGUUGUUUAUGACAAUGAAAAUUAAAAGUACAGGUUAGACAUUGUACACAUUCAAAGUGGGGAUGCACAUAAAUGAAGCCAUAAAGCGGGUCCUGUACUUUUAUUUUCCCGUCUCUUAAAGAGAUCCAUGAAUAGUUGUAUCAAUAGACUUUUAUUUCACAUGGAAAAACAAUAUAGUAAAAAGUUGUAGAGUAUAGUUUUUUACAUCUGCUUAGUUCCUACAAAUUUAAAUAAAAUAUUGCCACACGGACGUCGCCAUAUUGUUUACACCGCAUUGCAUUCUGGGUAGAAUGACAUAUGCUUGGUCCUACACCGCUAGCUCCGAACAGUAAUUUUUGCGCUAUAAACAACGUUGGGUUUUGUUUCAGCUUGAACUGAAGCGCGAUUAAACGGAAGGUAAUGGAGAAAUGACAAGAGGAAAUGAAGAUGAGGAGGCGCAAACAGAGGAAGAGAUGCUCCGAGGGCAAACGGAGAAGGUUAAAAGAACGAGGUGGACGGGACGGCGCUGUUGAUGCCGAGCUUGUUGAGCCGCUUAAAGAAAAUAAAAUAAAUCUGCGGCCAGUCAACGAAGGUGACUCGACGUUACGGAGAAGUGGUUUCCCCUCCACACACCUGCUGUGCAGAGAAUACGCUAACAUUCACGGUCGGCUACAGACACGGAGAUCUCGAGUUUUCACCGUUCUCAACAAGAGCUGAAAGCGUCUGCACAGCUUCAUUCAGGCCACGAUUACGUGUGUCAAUAUUUGUCAAGAAAAGUCUGAAUUUCUUCUCGGGACGGAGUGACGCUUCCACCUCACAGAAAGGAUGGAGAGAGCGACAAUUAUGUUUCACCAAAUCCAAACGGGAGCACACAAAGUUUGAAACAUCCUCCUGCGGUCGUUCGGGACAAUGGGAAAGUGAUCCUGAGGAGAACCUCGGGAAUGCGUUUCUGGCCGUAAAGCGACGGGACGCUCCGGGGUCACACGCGGUCAGGUUGACCAUCUCUGGCUCAUCUCAGUUUCCCUCAAAGGGCUCGACUGACAGUGUGGUGCAUCAGGUUGCAUAGUUGGCUGCAGAACACAAAGGGAUCCCUCCCAUCAUCUAGCACAUUUUUUAUUUUUUUUUGUCGGUUUUGGCCGAUCACUUGUUGAUUUCAUAAAGGCUCUGCUGCUGUCAGCAGCUAAAAGAUUCACACUCUUCUCUCUCAACUCUCAUUCUUUCCAUCCACACGUGGGGAAGGGGGAGGAUUUUGCUAUUUACUUCAUUUCUUUGCUUCAAAGCAAAGAAAUGAAGCAUAUAAUUGUUUUCGAGCUCGCUCUUCUGGAUUUCUUAUGAAAUGUGGAGAAUGUCUGGAGCUGGAAAUAUGUGUUUGGUGGGAAACCAUGAAUUGCCUUUUAUUGGCAAAGAAAAAUGAGAUCUGACGACUGAACAUGGACAGAAAAAGGCUGUUAUGGUGUAACAUAACAGGAUAGAUGCAUCAUGAAGGAGUUUCAGCUGCUGAA